UACAGAGGGCGCGAGCGUUGUCCGGAAUUACUGGGCGUAAAGGGCUCGUAGGCGGCCAACUAAGUCAGACGUGAAAUCCCUCGGCUUAACCGGGGAACUGCGUCUGAUACUGGAUGGCUUGAGAUUGGGAGAGGGAUGCGGAAUUCCAGGUGUAGCGGUGAAAUGCGUAGAUAUCGAGAGGAACACCAGUGGCGAAGGCGAGUUCCUGGACAAGUCCUGACACUGAGGCACGAAAGCCGGGGGAGCAAACAGG
rnacentral:rRNA from 1 species